rnacentral:rRNA from 1 species
UGGGGAAUAUUGCACAAUGGGGGAAACCCUGAUGCAGCGACGCCGCGUGAGCGAAGAAGGUUUUCGAAUCGUAAAGCUCUGUCCUAUGAGAAGAUAAUGACGGUAUCAUAGGAGGAAGCCCCGGCUAAAUACGUGCCAGCAGCCGCGGUAAUACGUAUGGGGCGAGCGUUGUCCGGAAUUAUUGGGCGUAAAGGGUACGUAGGCGGUCUAUUAAGUCAGGUGUGAAAGCGUGAGGCUUAACCUCAUUAAGCACUUGAAACUGAUAGACUUGAGUGAAGGAGAGGAAAGUGGAAUUCCUAGUGUAGCGGUGAAAUGCGUAGAUAUUAGGAGGAAUACCGGCGGCGAAGGCGACUUUCUGGACUUUUACUGACGCUCAGGUACGAAAGCGUGGGGAGCAAACAGG